GCCUAUCAAUAAGCGGAGGAAAAGAAACCAACAGGGAUUGCCUUAGUAACUGCGAGUGAAGCGGCAAGAGCUCAAAUUUGAAAUCUGGCACCUUUGGUGUCCGAGUUGUAAUUUGUAGAAGCAGCUUUUGAAUUGGUCCUUGCAUAUGUUCCUUGGAACAGGACAUCAUAGAGGGUGAGAAUCCCGUUCAUGGUGGGGAAUUUCAAUUCUUUGUAAAGCGCUUUCGAAGAGUCGAGUUGUUUGGGAAUGCAGCUCUAAGCGGGUGGUAAAUUCCAUCUAAAGCUAAAUAUUGGCGAGAGACCGAUAGCGAACAAGUACAGUGAUGGAAAGAUGAAAAGUACUCCGAAAGGAGAGUGAAAAAGGACGUGAAAUUGUUGAAAGGGAAGUGCUUGAGAUCAGUCUUAAGAUUUAACGAUCAAUCUUCCUUUUUUGGUUGAUGCACUCGUUUUUUCUUAGGCCAGCAUCAGUUUUUGUGGCAGGAUAAUGACAUUGGAAUGUGGCUCUUUCGGGAGUGUUAUAGACUUUGUUGAUACUGCUUGCUUAGACUGAGGACCGCGCUUUUUUGCUAGGAUGCUGGCAUAAUGAUCUUAAUCAGCCCGUCUUGAAACACGGACCAAGGAGUCUAAUAACUAUGCGAGUGUUUGGGUGUUAAACCCGUACGCGUAAUGAAAGUGAACGUAGGUGGGAACCUUUUUUGGUGCACCAUCGACCGAUCCUGAUGUUUUCGGAUGGAUUUGAGUAAGAGCAUAGCUGUUGGGACCCGAAAGAUGGUGAACUAUGCCUGAAUAGGGUGAAGCCAGAGGAAACUCUGGUGGAGGCUCGUAGCGAUUACUGACGUGCAAAUCGAUCGUCAAAUUUGGGGUAUAGGGGCGAAAGACUAAUCGAACCAUCUAGUAGCUGGGUC
rnacentral:rRNA from 1 species